UCGGGAAUUUUGGGCAAUGGGCGAAAGCCUGACCCAGCAACGCCGCGUGAAGGAUGAAGUAUUUCGGUAUGUAAACUUCGUAAGAAUAGGAAGAAUAAAUGACGGUACUAUUUGUAAGGUCCGGCUAACUACGUGCCAGCAGCCGCGGUAAUACGUAGGGACCAAGCGUUGUUCGGAUUUACUGGGCGUAAAGGGCGCGUAGGCGGUUUGUCAAGUCAGUUGUGAAAUCUCCGAGCUUAACUCGGAACGGUCAAGUGAUACUGCUGUGCUAGAGUACAGAAGGGGCAAUCGGAAUUCUUGGUGUAGCGGUGAAAUGCGUAGAUAUCAAGAGGAACACCUGAGGUGAAGACGGGUUGCUGGGCUGAUACUGACGCUGAGGCGCGAAAGCUAGGGUAGCAAACGGGAUUAGAUACCCCCGUAGUCCCUGAGCGGGCUGGCAAGGCGCAU
rnacentral:rRNA from 1 species